AUACGGAGGAUCCGAGCGUUAUCCGGAUUUAUUGGGUUUAAAGGGUGCGCAGGCGGCCAUUUAAGUCAGCGGUUAAAUCGUGGGGCUCAACCCCAUUCUGCCGUUGAUACUGGGUGGCUUGAUUGCGGUCGAGGUUGGCGGAAUUCGUUGUGUAGCGGUGAAAUGCAUAGAUAUGACGAAGAACACCGAUUGCGUAGGCAGCUGACCAGACCGCAAAUGACGCUCAUGCACGAAAGUGCGGGGAUCGAACAGGAUUAGAUACCCUAGUAGUCCGCACAGUAAACGAUGAAUACUUGUUUUCGGCGAUAUAAUGUCGGAGGCAAAGCGAAAGCGAUAAGUAUUCCACCUGGGGAGUACGCCGGCAACGGUGAAACUCAAAUGAAUUGACGGGG
rnacentral:rRNA from 1 species